CUGGUAGAAGCAUCAGUGACUUAAGUGAACACUGUAAAGCAGAACUGCAGAACUAAGACAGAGAACUGAAAUGGAAAAAUGUGAACAGGGUACUACUCAAUGUGUGGACAACCCACAAGGUUCUGGUGUGAAGAUGUACGAGGAGAAGACAUUUUACAACUCUCCCCUAUGUCAGGUCCCUGUGCAGAAUGUCAACAAUCCAGAAGGGUCUGAUGGUCUGGUUUACUAUGACAAGACUUUUUACAAGAGCCCACAUUCCCAAGCAAACAGACAAAGUCGACUCAGCACAACUUCAGGAACAGUGGCAUUUUUCCAGUAAUAAAUAAUAAUAAAAAAAAG